GAUGAACGCUGGCGGCGCGCUUAACACAUGCAAGUCGAACGGAAAGGCCUGCUUUCCCUUGUGGAUUGCGGGUACUCGAGUGGCGAACGGGUGAGUAACACGUGAGUGAUCUGCCCCCAACUUGGGUAUAAGCCUGGGAAACUGGGUCUAAUUCCCGAUAGGACUGCAGGGUGGUGCCUGUGGUGGAAAACGAUUUUCUAGUGGUUGGGGAUGAGCUCGCGGCCUAUCAGCUUGUUGGUGGGGUAAUGGCCUACCAAGGCGGCGACGGGCAGCCGGCCUGAGAGGGUGGACGGCCACAUUGGGACUGAGAUACGGCCCAGACUCCUACGGGAGGCAGCAGUGGGGAAUAUUGCACAAUGGGCGGAAGCCUGAUGCAGCGACGCCGCGUGGGGGAUGACGGCCUUCGGGUUGUAAACUCCUUUCGACCGCGAGGAAGCCACCUGGUUGGAAGGGUGGUGACGGUAGUGGUAGAAGAAGCACCGGCUAACUACGUG
rnacentral:rRNA from 1 species